rnacentral:rRNA from 1 species
UACGUAGGGGGCUAGCGUUGUCCGGAUUUAUUGGGCGUAAAGAGCGUGUAGGCGGCCAGAUAGGUCAGCUGUGAAAACUCGAGGCUCAACCUCGAGACGCCGGUUGAAACCAUCUGGCUAGAGUCCGGAAGAGGAGAGUGGAAUUCCUGGUGUAGUGGUGAAAUGCGCAGAUAUCAGGAAGAACACCCGUGGCUAAGUCGGCUCUCUAGUACGGUACUGACGCUGAGACGCGAAAGCGUGGGGAGCGAACAGG